rnacentral:rRNA from 1 species
GUGCGAAGGUAGCACAAUAAUGAGCCUCCUAAUUAGAGGAUAGAAUGAAUGAAUCAACGAAAAACCUACUGUCUCAUAAAUACCCAUUGAAAUUUAUAAAUGGGUGAAAAAGCCCAUAUACUACUUAAAGACAAGAAGACCCUAUAAACUUUUUCAAACCUUAAUAAAAUUAAUUAAAUACCAUUUAGUUGGGGCGACUAAAAGAAUAAAACACUUUUAUUAAAUAGAGAUGAUACCUCAUUUUACUUAUCCAACAACAUUCAAGCAAGCUACUAUAGGGAUAACAGGCUAAUACUUUCCAAGAGUACAUAUCAACGAAAGUGCUUGGCACCUCGAUGUUGGCUUAGGGAGUCUAUU